rnacentral:tRNA from 4 species
GCGCCUGUGGUUCAAUGGAUAGAACAUUGGCCUCCGAAGCCAAAGAUUACUGGUUCGAGUCCAGUCAGGCGCACUA